GAGAGAGAGAGAGAGAGAGUUUUCAGCUCAUGCUAGUGCAACAGAACCUCCACAUGAUAUUAGUUUAUGCACAAAACAUGCAUCAUGAUUGAACAUCUAGCGCAUUUCAGCUGGCCCAAGCAGUAGGAAAAGAAGUUCAAUUAAGAAAGAAUUUUUCUUCUCCAUAUUUCUGUGCUUAAUAACAAUAACAAUGUAGUAGCUUUAAUUGAAUCAUUCCCUAAUCAAUCUUUUCUUAAAUUGUUAUGAAUGUUCAAUUCAUUUUUUCAAAAGUCAAGUCAUCUUUAAGAUUAAGUCCCAUACUGGUAGAAUUAAAACCAUUUUAUAGAAAUUUACACUCAUCAGCCUAAAACAUUAAACAAAGAAAAAGCAUCAGUGGAAGAGUAAGUGAUGCUCACAGAAGCAAAGUGGUUAACAUCACGAUGGUGAGCUUCAUCAGCACGGAUGACUGUUAUAGCAUCCUCCAAGGUUGCGUCCUUUGGCAGCCUCCAGUAAUCUAUUGCAAUGGCAGGAGCUGGAACAUUUUCAAUUUUACCGUUUUUUAUAUCUUUUAAAAACUCUGUAUAAGAGUGUAUAGCCUCCUCCUCCAAAUACCCAGUAAUUCUAUGAGCCAAUUUGGGAGAUAGCAGAUAAAGCACAAAGUAAGCAUUAAAGAAGACUCCCUGCACUGCAAGGACCAGUAACCUCUCAUACCACCUAGGCUGCACAAGCUCCACCAUUGUCAUCAGGUGCAUCCUUUCAUUCUCUGCUUCCUCAAGCAGGGCUUUAAUCCAACCACCACUUUGCUGGAACCUGCGAAGAGACCUUAGGUGCAGCAGCAUCCCUCCUACCAUACCAGGGACAGCAGCCACAGUUUCCAACAUCAUGGCACGACACCCAUACCGUCUCUGCAAUAAUUUAAUAAAUACAUUGCAAUGAAGAAAACAUUACUAGAAGGCAAUUAGAAUUGCAAGGUGUUUGAUUGAUUAAAAGCAUGAAUUAUAAACAGGAAAAAAGAAAUAUGAGGGGCUGAGGUUCUCAGAUUUUCAGAAAUGCUUAACGUCAUAACAUAUCCAGAACUAGGAAGAAAAAUUCACAAAAAAAAAUCCAAGGUAAGAAAACAAUUUUUGAAUGAUUUAUUUCAUACAAGUAACUAAUAAUGUUAAUUUUUUCAAUGGGCAGUAUACAGGGAAGUUUUUUGACCAUCUACCUCACGAUACAAGUAUAGAGAAUUCAUCAACAAAACUAAGCAUUACUUACAGCUCUCAUCACAUGAUCCAGACAAUUUCACACAAGAAUUCUAAUAAAGAAUCAAAUGGUAUUUAGUUAAUGCUAUCUUUGCACCACCAAUCAUUUCUUCUUCCAAAGAUUCCAAGGUCCAGCUAAUACUGAAACAAAGAAUGCAAAAUUUUUCUUCUUAAAAUAAAGCAUGAGGCAAUUCUAUCCAUUGGCAAAGUUAAAAUGAAUAACGUUGGUAGAUCCUUCAAAUCUUUUUAACAGAAAAACAUCAUUGAAAUUCUCAUCUUCAGACUCUUCAUAGUAAACAAAAACAAACCCAAUUUCCUCUCUUUCAAUUUGUCAAUAUCACUCCAAAACAACCUCUGAUCCCUAAAAAUUCGAAACCCAAGAUUUUGAUCUCUACACAGUGUUCUUGAACGACAAAAUUCAAUAACGAAGUCAACCAAUUUUAAAGCCAUAUAAAUAUUUUUCCACAAUUAAUCAAU
rnacentral:misc_RNA from 1 species